GAUAAGCCGUGAGUUAGGUUACAAAGGGUAACGCAUUCCCGCAUAGGUUGACCGCUGCUCGAACCCUCUGGCCUACCUUAUGGCUGUCAGGCUCAUAACCUGAAGGUCGUCAGUUCAAAUCUGGCUCCGGCG
rnacentral:tRNA from 1 species